CACUGUCAAGCAAUAAGCCAUCAGCUAUUUUUCAUCGUUUUUUAUAUAUAUAUGGCCAUCAAGGCGCAGAUUCUGCACACACUAUAGUGCUCAGCUCAUAUUGGUAUUUAAUAGGCAUCUUCUGAUGAACCGGUCACUGAAAUGCAAGAAUACGUCUUGGAGGAAGAGGACGGAGGGGCACCACUGAUCCCACAACAGGAAGUCUGCUCGACACAACAGCGCGCCGCAUCUCAAGGCUUCCUCUUCCGCAUCACUGAGCCAGAUAAAAACACUGAAUUCAGGCACCACCAACGCUGCCAUUUGCCCUCGCAACACACACACACACCUGCCAGGACGUAACGUGCAGAAGGAAGACGCGGCCGCUGCUGUCCCCACUGGAGCAGAGAGGACGUGAGCCUUUGAUGUUCCACUCAAAAUUAUUAAUUCCCCGCGUCAGGUUCUGUGUUUCAUCUACAUUUAAAGUCAAAAUCUUGAGUUUGAGCAAAGCUUCUGCUAUGCAAAUCAGCUCCUAAUGUGCAUGCUGAGUUUGCUGGCGAUGUUUAAUCUACUAUUUUUUUGAGAAAAUUAAUGACAUCUGCGUCAGUUGAUAUUGAUCUAAAAUCUACAUAGGCGCUCCCCGCUGUGCGUCAGAUGAGCUUCAUGUCUUAGCGUGGCCUUCACAUCACUAGGACAAAAGUUUGAACACAUGACUCAGAAACUCAAUCAAAUGUUUGAUCUUACAACCAAGAUGUAUUAAAAGUUUAUCAAUAGAGCAAUUGUGCAAUGACAAUUCUUUCAUCAUUUUCUCAUCCUCGGUCGUUCAAAACCCCAUCACUGACUUUCCCGUGUGGAACUCAAGUUGAGAUGUUCAUGCUGCUCUUUUCCAUAAAACAUGAAGUUAGCCCUUACAAGUCAUUAUUCACUAACAACAUCCUCAAAUCUCAUCACUCUCAUGGACAUUAAACCUAGGCAGACGUGUCUUGAAUCUCCAGGUUUGAAUAAGUAUGAGGUUUGAGAGCUACAGCAAAGAUCAAUGUUUUUCAUCAUUAAAAAGUUUUACACAUAAUGAAACAAAAUAUGCAUGCGAUCAUCUACAACCUUGUGAAAAAGAAGUAAACUCUAGCAUACUUUUAAAAUGAGUACUUGUUACGGAAAUAAUACAGUUUAAAAGAAUAUAAUUAGGGUGAUGUUGUUACAGUGUAAUUACACUGUAAUGACUAUGGAGUAAUAUUGAUUAACUACAUGUACCUUUUAUGGGGUUAGGGUUAGGUUUACGGUGUUACUUAAUUAUGCAUAAUUUACUGUUAUUAAGUACAUGUAAUAUGUAUAACUAUGCCACUGUAAAGUAUUACUAUAAUGUAAUAUAGUUUACAUUUGUAUCAAAGUAUCAAACAUAUUCAGUUAAACUUUAGAGUGUAUCUUUGACCCACUGAUGUACGUCUACAUAUGUAAUUUCAUAUGUAGCUCUAUUGUCUUUGAAAUAUGGAUAAACAUUUAUGGUAAAGGAAAAUAUACUUUAAUACUUUUCUACUGAAACGUGUAUGUGAUGUAUUUAAAUACAAUCAAAGUAAAAAGUUUACAUAUACCUUGCAGAAUCUGCAAAAUGUUAAUUAUUUGACCAAAAUGCAUGCUAUUUUUUUUAUUUAGUACUGAUAAGAUAUUUCA